UAACGCGUGGGAAUCUACCCAUCUCUACGGAACUACUCCGGGAAACUGGAGCUAAUACCGUAUACGUCCUUCGGGAGAAGAUUUAUCGGAGAUGGAUGAGCCCGCGUUGGAUUACCUAGUUGGUGGGGUAAUGGCCUACCAAGGCGACGAUCCAUAGCUGGUCUGAGAGGAUGAUCAGCCACACUGGGACUGAGACACGGCCUAAACUCCUACGGGACGCAGCAGUGGGGAAUAUUGGACAAUGGGCGCAAGCCUAAUCCAGCCAUGCCGCGUGAGUGAUGAAGGCCCUAGGGUUGUAAAGCUCUUUCCACGGUGAAGAAAAUGACGGUACCCGUAGAAAAACCCCCGGCUAAUUUCGUGCCCACAGCCGCGUUAAUACGAAGGGGGCUAGCUUUGUUCAAAAUUACUGGGCGUGCAGCCCACGUAGGCGGAUAAUGAAUUGAGUGGAGAAAUCGAGCUGCUUGCCGAGGAACUGCCUUUAUACUGGGUAUCUCGAGUCCGGAGGAGGUG
rnacentral:rRNA from 1 species